GUAAUGCCGCAGUCCCGGAGCAGCCUUGGAGGUCCCCCUCCCCACUAAGUGCCUCUUUGCAUAGCACCGGUCCAGCCCCACUCUCUGGACCACUACAGCUAGACGGGCAAUGGCGGGUCGGGGAGGCACAGCACGACCCAAUGGGCAAGCCUCUGGGAACAAGAUCUGUCAGUUCAAGCUUGUUCUGCUGGGGGAGUCUGCGGUGGGCAAAUCCAGCCUUGUCGUCCGCUUCAUCAAGGGACAGUUUAAUGAGUACCAAGAGAGCACAAUCGGAGCAGCCUUCCUCACACAGACUAUCUGCCUGGACGACACAACAGUCAAGUUUGAGAUCUGGGACACAGCUGGACAGGAGUAGUAUCACAGCCUGGCCCCCAUGUACUAGCGGGAGGCCCAGGCUGCCAUCGUGGUCUAUGACAGAUACAUUUGCAUGGGCCAAGAAUUGCGUGAAGGAGCUACAGAGGCAGGCCAGCCCCAACAUCGUCAUUGCACUUGUGGGUAACAAGGCAGACCUGGCCAGCAAGAGAACCGUGGAAUUCCAGGAAGCACAAGCCUAUGCAGACGACAAUAGUUUGCUGUUUAUGGAGACAUCAGCAAAGACUGCCAUGAACGUGAAUGAAAUUUUCAUGGCAAUAGCUAAGAAGCUUCCCAAGGACGAGCCCCAGAAUGCAGCUGGUGCUCCAGGCCGAAACCGAGGUGUGGACCUCCAGGAGAGCAAGCCAGCCAGCCGGAGCCAGUGCUGCAGCAACUGAGCCCCACUUGCCGGCCCGCUGCCCCCACCUCCUCCGCCUGAACAACCCGACUGGAAUCCACUCUAACCAAUGGUACUUAACCACUCAGGCCACCACUGGAGGGGCAGGGGGAGGGGUCCACCAUGAUUUCUUCAUAUAAUUUUGAUCAUAGGCUGGAGUGAGGUAUUCCACCUGCACCUUUCUGUACAAAUACUGAUUCAAUUUUGUCUUAAGUCACUUUUUUAAUAUAUAUGAUCUUCUGCUCUUCCCACUUCCUCCCCUUUCUACUGCUCUCUCACUUUCCCUUGCUGGGAUUAGCUACAUGCUCCUGUCCCCACCCCCCACCCUUGUAUAUGGGGACAAUGGGUCAGAGCAGCUACACUUUCUUUCCUUCCUGCGGAACAGUGGACCAAGCAAGAGCAUCCACAUCCACAUUCUGUUCGGAGUGGUCUUUGGUUUGGGCAGUGGGGCAGACCUUGGGAAGGGGCUUGGGAAGGGAGUGGCAGCUCUUCCCUCAGCUGGCUGUCAUCAGGCUGCAGCCCCCUCCCUGCCCCCGCCUCCCUGCUGGAGAAGCACAGCAUUAUCACAGCAUUAUUGUGACAGCCACAAACCCAUUGCCUACAGCCCCUCCACCCUCGGUCACCCCAACCUCUGGCUCUGAGUCCUGUUCUGACCAAAUCACGAUGAUGAGUAUUUGGGGGUGGGUGGGUAAGGGGAGGAGUGGGAGGGGAUGGAACCAACUGUUUCUGUAUUUUGUAUUGUAUGUUUUCUUCAACAUGUAACCAAUCAGUAUCUUGUCAAUAUAGUCAGCCGAUCGACCUCAAAAAAAAAAAAAA